UCGAACGAGAACGUCUUAGCUUGCUAAGAUUAGUAAAGUGGCGCACGGGUGAGUAACGCGUGGGUAAUCUACCUCCGACUCGGGGAUAACAUCGCGAAAGUGAUGCUAAUACCGGAUAACAUCUAUUCUGCUUCGGCAUUAUAGAUCAAAGGUGGUCUCUACAUGUAAGCUACUGAUUGGAGAUGAGCCCGCGUACCAUUAGCUUGUUGGUAGGGUAAUGGCCUACCAAGGCUACGAUGGUUAGCUGGUCUGAGAGGAUGAUCAGCCACACUGGAACUGACACACGGUCCAGACUCCUACGGGAGGCAGCAGUGAGGAAUUUUGCGCAAUGGGGGAAACCCUGACGCAGCAACGCCGCGUGAGUGAUGAAGGCUUUCGGGUCGUAAAGCUCUGUCAAGUGGGAAGAAAUAGCCUGAUGCUAAUAUCAUCAGGAAUUGACGGUACCACUGAAGGAAGCACCGGCUAACUCCGUGCCAGCAGCCGCGGUAAUACGGGGGUGCAAGCGUUAUUCGGAAUC
rnacentral:rRNA from 1 species